UUUGUUUUAGGAUCUUUUGGUAUGGAUUAUGUGAGUUGAUUAGGAUAACUCAUGAUGGUUAGGGGGUAGGUUAUUCAAAUUUUGAGAUACACACUAGUUGGUUAUGUUCAUAUUAAUUUUCUAAAGAGAACUCACCAACUAGGUGCCAUGACAAUUCAUCUAUAACAGGUGAUGUUUGGAAAGUGUGUAAAAUCUAAAUAAUGGUAUGUGAGUUUGAUUAGUCAUAUGGUUUAGGGGAAGGCAUGACAAUUUCUAAAGUUAG
rnacentral:lncRNA from 1 species